GUAGGGAGCAAGCGUUAUCCGGAUUUAUUGGGUGUAAAGGGUGCGUAGACGGGAAUUUAAGUUAGUUGUGAAACCCCUCGGCUUAACUGAGGAACUGCAACUAAAACUAUUAUUCUUGAGUGCAGGAGGGGAAAGUGGAAUUCCUAGUGUAGCGGUGAAAUGCGUAGAUAUUAGGAAGAACACCAGUGGCGAAGGCGACUUUCUGGACUGUAACUGACGUUGAGGCACGAAAGUGUGGGGAGCAA
rnacentral:rRNA from 1 species